rnacentral:snoRNA from 1 species
UGCUGAUGAUGAAGAAUAUGGUAUUAAUGUGAUUUAUGAAUUUAUCGGUGAUUACAUAAAUACCUCUACUGCCUUCCUUCUGAGGCA